UACGUAGGGGGCAAGCGUUGUCCGGAAUCAUUGGGCGUAAAGAGCGUGUAGGCGGCCAUGUAGGUCCGUUGUGAAAACUCGAGGCUCAACCUCGAGACGCCGAUGGAAACCAUGUGGCUAGAGUCCGGAAGAGGAGAGUGGAAUUCCUGGUGUAGCGGUGAAAUGCGCAGAUAUCAGGAGGAACACCGGUGGCGAAGGCGGGUCUCUGGGCCGUAACUGACGCUGAGGAGCGAAAGCGUGGGGAGCGAACAGG
rnacentral:rRNA from 1 species